rnacentral:rRNA from 1 species
UUUUUUUUUUUUAAAUUUUCCUCCUGCUUCAAAUGAUUUUAAAUUGCUGUGGUAUUUUGACUAUACAAAGGUAUUGAAAUAAGAUUUUAAUUGAAUGCUAAGAGAAUGGAAGUCCAGAAAAAAACUUUUUUUAAAUUAAAAAUUGAAGUUUUUUUAAUUUGUGCAGAAACAAUUAUUUAUAUUAAAGACAAGAAGACCCUAUGAAUUUAUUAAAUUUUUAUUUAAUAUGUAAUUACUAUUAGAAAAAUUUUGGCUGGGGCGGCUAGAAAAUAUUAUGAACUUUUUAAAAAUAAAAUGAUCCAUUAUUAAUGAUUUUAUGUUAAAUACUCUAGGGAUAACAGCGUUAUAUUUUUUGAUAGAUCAUAUUGACAAAAAAGUUUGCGACCUCGAUGUUGGAUUAGGAUACUUUUUUAAUGAAGAUAUAAAAAAAGAAGUUGUCACGAC